UCCUGACUGACCGAUAGUGAACCAGUACCGUGAGGGAAAGGCGAAAAGAACCCCGGCGAGGGGAGUGAAAAAGAACCUGAAACCGUGUACGUACAAGCAGUGGGAGCACGCUUAGGCGUGUGACUGCGUACCUUUUGUAUAAUGGGUCAGCGACUUAUAUUCUGUAGCAAGGUUAACCGAAUAGGGGAGCCGAAGGGAAACCGAGUCUUAACUGGGCGUUAAGUUGCAGGGUAUAGACCCGAAACCCGGUGAUCUAGCCAUGGGCAGGUUGAAGGUUGGGUAACACUAACUGGAGGACCGAACCGACUAAUGUUGAAAAAUUAGCGGAUGACUUGUGGCUGGGGGUGAAAGGCCAAUCAAACCGGGAGAUAGCUGGUUCUCCCCGAAAGCUAUUUAGGUAGCGCCUCGUGAAUUCAUCUCCGGGGGUAGAGCACUGUUUCGGCAAGGGGGUCAUCCCGACUUACCAACCCGAUGCAAACUGCGAAUACCGGAGAAUGUUAUCACGGGAGACACACGGCGGGUGCUAACGUCCGUCGUGAAGAGGGAAACAACCCAGACCGCCAGCUAAGGUCCCAAAGUCAUGGUUAAGUGGGAAACGAUGUGGGAAGGCCCAGACAGCCAGGAUGUUGGCUUAGAAGCAGCCAUCAUUUAAAGAAAGCGUAAUAGCUCACUGGUCGAGUCGGCCUGCGCGGAAGAUGUAACGGGGCUAAACCAUGCACCGAAGCUGCGGCAGCGACGCUUAUGCGUUGUUGGGUAGGGGAGCGUUCUGUAAGCCUGCGAAGGUGUGCUGUGAGGCAUGCUGGAGGUAUCAGAAGUGCGAAUGCUGACAUAAGUAACGAUAAAGCGGGUGAAAAGCCCGCUCGCCGGAAGACCAAGGGUUCCUGUCCAACGUUAAUCGGGGCAGGGUGAGUCGACCCCUAAGGCGAGGCCGAAAGGCGUAGUCGAUGGGAAACAGGUUAAUAUUCCUGUACUUGGUGUUACUGCGAAGGGGGGACGGAGAAGGCUAUGUUGGCCGGGCGACGGUUGUCCCGGUUUAAGCGUGUAGGCUGGUUUUCCAGGCAAAUCCGGAAAAUCAAGGCUGAGGCGUGAUGACGAGGCACUACGGUGCUGAAGCAACAAAUGCCCUGCUUCCAGGAAAAGCCUCUAAGCAUCAGGUAACAUCAAAUCGUACCCCAAACCGACACAGGUGGUCAGGUAGAGAAUACCAAGGCGCUUGAGAGAACUCGGGUGAAGGAACUAGGCAAAAUGGUGCCGUAACUUCGGGAGAAGGCACGCUGAUAUGUAGGUGAAGUCCCUUGCGGAUGGAGCUGAAAUCAGUCGAAGAUACCAGCUGGCUGCAACUGUUUAUUAAAAACACAGCACUGUGCAAACACGAAAGUGGACGUAUACGGUGUGACGCCUGCCCGGUGCCGGAAGGUUAAUUGAUGGGGUC
rnacentral:rRNA from 1 species